UACGUAGGGGGCAAGCGUUGUCCGGAAUCAUUGGGCGUAAAGCGCGUGUAGGCGGUCCGGUAAGUCCGCUGUGAAAGUCGGGGGCUCAACCCUCGGAUGCCGGUGGAUACUGUCGGGCUUGAGUACGGAAGAGGCGAGUGGAAUUCCUGGUGUAGCGGUGAAAUGCGCAGAUAUCAGGAGGAACACCAAUUGCGAAGGCAGCUCGCUGGGACGUUACUGACGCUGAGACGCGAAAAGCGUGGGGAGCAAACAGG
rnacentral:rRNA from 1 species